rnacentral:rRNA from 1 species
CACGCCGUAAACGAUGGAUACUAGGUGUAGGGGGUAUCGACCCCCCCUGUGCCGCAGUUAACACAAUAAGUAUCCCACCUGGGGAGUACGGCCGCAAGGUUGAAACUCAAAGGAAUUGACGGGGGCCCGCACAAGCAGUGGAGUAUGUGGUUUAAUUCGAAGCAACGCGAAGAACCUUACCAGAACUUGACAUCCCUCGCUAUCUGUUGAAAGACAGAGUUCCCUCGGGACGAGGAGACAGGUGG